AUUGAACGCUGGCGGCAUGCCUUACACAUGCAAGUCGAACGGCAGCACGGGAGCAAUCCUGGUGGCGAGUGGCGAACGGGUGAGUAAUAUAUCGGAACGUGCCCAGUCGUGGGGAUAACGUAGCGAAAGCUACGCUAAUACCGCAUACGAUCUAUGGAUGAAAGCGGGGGAUCGCAAGACCUCGCGCGAUUGGAGCGGCCGAUAUCAGAUUAGGCAGUUGGUGAGGUAAAGGCUCACCAAGCCGACGAUCUGUAGCUGGUCUGAGAGGACGACCAGCCACACUGGGACUGAGGCACGGCCCAGACUCCUACGGGAGGCAGCAGUGGGGAAUUUUGGACAAUGGGCGCAAGCCUGAUCCAGCAAUGCCGCGUGCAGGAUGAAGGCCU
rnacentral:rRNA from 1 species